rnacentral:lncRNA from 1 species
CUUUUCUUUAAGAACAAAGGUUGGAGCCCAAGCCUUGCGGCGCGGUGCAGGAAAGUACACGGCGUGUGUUGAGAGAAAAAAAAUACACACACGCAAUGACCCACGAGAAAGGGAAAGGGGAAAACACCAACUACCCGGGCGCUGGGCUUUUUCGACUUUUCCUUUAAAAAGAAAAAAGUUUUUCAAGCUGCGCGGGCUUCCUGUGCGCGGCCGAGCCCGGGCCCAGCGCCGCCUGCAGCCUCGGGAAGGGAGCGGAUAGCGGAGCCCCGAGCCGCCCGCAGAGCAAGCGCGGGGAACCAAGGAGACGCUCCUGGCACUGCAGAUAACUUGUCUGCAUUUCAAGAACAACCUACCAGAGACCUUACCUGUCACCUUGGCUCUCCCACCCAAUGGAGAUGGCUCUAAUGGUGGCACAAACCAGGAAGGGGAAAUCUGUGGUUUAAAUUCUUUAUGCCUCAUCCUCUGAGUGCUGAAGGCUUGCUGUAGGCUGUAUGCUGUUAAUGCUAAUCGUGAUAGGGGUUUUUGCCUCCAACUGACUCCUACAUAUUAGCAUUAACAGUGUAUGAUGCCUGUUACUAGCAUUCACAUGGAACAAAUUGCUGCCGUGGGAGGAUGACAAAGAAGCAUGAGUCACCCUGCUGGAUAAACUUAGACUUCAGGCUUUAUCAUUUUUCAAUCUGUUAAUCAUAAUCUGGUCACUGGGAUGUUCAACCUUAAACUAAGUUUUGAAAGUAAGGUUAUUUAAAAGAUUUAUCAGUAGUAUCCUAAAUGCAAACAUUUUCAUUUAAAUGUCAAGCCCAUGUUUGUUUUUAUCAUUAACAGAAAAUAUAUUCAUGUCAUUCUUAAUUGCAGGUUUUGGCUUGUUCAUUAUAAUGUUCAUAAACACCUUUGAUUCAACUGUUAGAAAUGUGGGCUAAACACAAAUUUCUAUAAUAUUUUUGUAGUUAAAAAUUAGAAGGACUACUAACCUCCAGUUAUAUCAUGGAUUGUCUGGCAACGUUUUUUAAAAGAUUUAGAAACUGGUACUUUCCCCCAGGUAACGAUUUUCUGUUCAGGCAACUUCAGUUUAAAAUUAAUACUUUUAUUUGACUCUUAAAGGGAAACUGAAAGGCUAUGAAGCUGAAUUUUUUUAAUGAAAUAUUUUUAACAGUUAGCAGGGUAAAUAACAUCUGACAGCUAAUGAGAUAUUUUUUCCAUACAAGAUAAAAAGAUUUAAUCAAAAAAUUUCAUAUUUGAAAUGAAGUCCCAAAUCUAGGUUCAAGUUCAAUAGCUUAGCCACAUAAUACGGUUGUGCGAGCAGAGAAUCUACCUUUCCACUUCUAAGCCUGUUUCUUCCUCCAUAUGGGGAUAAUACUUUACAAGGUUGUUGUGAGGCUUAGAUGAGAUAGAGAAUUAUUCCAUAAGAUAAUCAAGUGCUACAUUAAUGUUAUAGUUAGAUUAAUCCAAGAACUAGUCACCCUACUUUAUUAGAGAAGAGAAAAGCUAAUGAUUUGAUUUGCAGAAUAUUUAAGGUUUGGAUUUCUAUGCAGUUUUUCUAAAUAACCAUCACUUACAAAUAUGUAACCAAACGUAAUUGUUAGUAUAUUUAAUGUAAACUUGUUUUAACAACUCUUCUCAACAUUUUGUCCAGGUUAUUCACUGUAACCAAAUAAAUCUCAUGAGUCUUUAGUUGAUUUAAAAUAA